rnacentral:rRNA from 1 species
GGACAGAUGGGAGCUUGCUCCCUGAUGUUUUCGGCGGACGGGUGAGUAACACGUGGGUAACCUGCCUGUAAGACUGGGAUAACUCCGGGAAACCGGGGCUAAUACCGGAUGCUUGUUUGAACCGCAUGGUUCAAACAUAAAAGGUGGCUUCGGCUACCACUUACAGAUGGACCCGCGGCGCAUUAGCUAGUUGGUGAGGUAACGGCUCACCAAGGCGACGAUGCGUAGCCGACCUGAGAGGGUGAUCGGCCACACUGGGACUGAGACACGGCCCAGACUCCUACGGGAGGCAGCAGUAGGGAAUCUUCCGCAAUGGACGAAAGUCUGACGGAGCAACGCCGCGUGAGUGAUGAAGGUUUUCGGAUCGUAAAGCUCUGUUGUUAGGGAAGAACAAGUGCCGUUCAAAUAGGGCGGCACCUUGACGGUACCUAACCAGAAAGCCACGGCUAACUACGUGCCAGCAGCCGCGGUAAUACGUAGGUGGCAAGCGUUGUCCGGAAUUAUUGGGCGUAAAGGGCUCGCAGGCGGUUUCUUAAGUCUGAUGUGAAAGCCCCCGGCUCAACCGGGGAGGGUCAUUGGAAACUGGGGAACUUGAGUGCAGAAGAGGAGAGUGGAAUUCCACGUGUAGCGGUGAAAUGCGUAGAGAUGUGGAGGAACACCAGUGGCGAAGGCGACUCUCUGGUCUGUAACUGACGCUGAGGAGCGAAAGCGUGGGGAGCGAACAGGAAGAUACCCUGGUAGUCCACGCCGUAAACGAUGAGUGCUAAGUGCA